AACGAACGCUGGCGGCAGGCUUAACACAUGCAAGUCGAGCGCAUCCUUCGGGGUGAGCGGCAGACGGGUGAGUAACGCGUGGGAAUCUACCUUUUGCUACGGAAUAGCUCCGGGAAACUGGAAUUAAUACCGUAUGUGCCCUUAGGGGGAAAGAUUUAUCGGCAAGAGAUGAGCCCGCGUUGGAUUAGCUAGUUGGUGGGGUAAAGGCCUACCAAGGCGACGAUCCAUAGCUGGUCUGAGAGGAUGAUCAGCCACAUUGGGACUGAGACACGGCCCAAACUCCUACGGGAGGCAGCAGUGGGGAAUAUUGGACAAUGGGCGCAAGCCUGAUCCAGCCAUGCCGCGUGAGUGAUGAAGGCCUUAGGGUUGUAAAGCUCUUUCACCGGAGAAGAUAAUGACGGUAACCGGAGAAGAAGCCCCGGCUAACUUCGUG
rnacentral:rRNA from 1 species